rnacentral:tRNA from 6 species
GGGCGUGUAGCUCAGUUGGUUAGAGCGCGUCACUGAUAAUGACGAGGUCCAUGGUUCGAAUCCAUGCACGCCCACAA